CCUACGGGUGGCAGCAGUGGGGGAUAUUGCACAAUGGAGGAAACUCUGAUGCAGCGACGCCGCGUGAGGGAUGACGGUCUUCGGAUUGUAAACCUCUGUCUGUCGGGAAGAAAAUGACGGUACCCAAACAGGAAUCUCCGGCUAACUCCGUGCAAGCAACCGCGGUCAUACGUAGGGCGCGCGCGUGCUCCGGAAUUAUUGGGGCAAAAGGGAGCGUAGGCGGGCGAGAAAGUUGAAGGUAAAAUCUACCGGCUAAACUGGGAGCUGCGUUCAACACUUCUUGUCUUGAGUGAAGUAGAGGCAGGCGGAAUUCCGGGUGUAGCGGUGAAAUGCGUAGAUAUCAGGAGGAACACCGGCGGCGAAGGCGGCCUGCUGGCGCGUAACUGACGUUGAGGCUCGAAAGCGUGGGUAGCAAACAGGAUUAGAUACCCCAGUAGUC
rnacentral:rRNA from 1 species